UACAGAGGUCUCAAGCGUUGUUCGGAUUCAUUGGGCGUAAAGGGUGCGUAGGCGGCGCGGUAAGUCGGGUGUGAAAUCUCGGAGCUUAACUCCGAAACUGCAUUCGAUACUGCCGUGCUUGAGGACUGGAGAGGAGACUGGAAUUUACGGUGUAGCGGUGGAAUGCGUAGAGAUCGGGAAGAACAUCAGUGGCGAAGGCGGCCUGCUGGGCUGGUUGCUGACGCUGAGGCGGCGAACAGCGUGGGGGAGCAAACAGGAUUAGAU
rnacentral:rRNA from 1 species